rnacentral:rRNA from 1 species
UACGGGGGGAGCAAGCGUUGUUCGGAUUUACUGGGCGUAAAGGGCGCGUAGGUGGCCUUCUAAGUUGAACGUGAAAUCCCUGGGCUCAACCCAGGAACUGCGUCCAAGACUGGGAGGCUUGAAUCCGGGAGAGGGAUGCGGAAUUCCAGGUGUAGCGGUGAAAUGCGUAGAUAUCUGGAGGAACACCGGUGGCGAAGGCGGCAUCCUGGACCGGGAUUGACACUGAGGCGCGAAAGCCAGGGGAGCAAACGGG